UUUCCAUGCCUUCACAUGGUUCAAUCCAAUCUCCCAAUGGGUAAAAAAAAAAAAAAAGGAGCUUGCUUGCUCAGCUCCACCAGGGUCCAGAUGGGUGGUGACUGAUAGCCAGGCCCCUAUUUGCAUUCUAAAAGAUGAGACGGUCGGAAUCAUAAGGUUGGAGCAAAACCCAUGUUUUUCCCACAAAUCUGCUAUAAUCUGAAAUCGAUUUGGCUCUGGUUUUGUCAUUAUUUGGUUAGAUCUCUUAAGCAAAAUACCUUUUCUUCAGUUUCAGAGAGAGAGAAUGUGUGUGUGUGUGUUGGUGUAUAUUAUGAGGGUGUGUAUCAUCAGAAACGAGGGGUGUAGAAAGGGUGGGGGGACUAGUGGCAGGUGAGAUGAGGAAACGCAAGAAAUGACUGAAGGGAGGGUGGGUUUUUUCACCAGUAACGAGGGAAGAGAAGAGAAUAACCAUGUUGAUGAUCCUUUGAUCCUUCUAUUCUAAAUAUGCCAUCCAUAAAGGGCAUGAACCAUCCAAUCUGAUUAUAUUUCUCUUUCUUUCCGGGUCUGAAACCCGCCUCUUCUUCUUCCUCUUUAAUUAAUUACACUCAGCACCCUCUCUCUACCAGUCCCCUACCCCUCUCUCUCUCUCUCUUAAUUACUGUUCUUCAUUGCAUCUUAAAUAGGAGAACCCCAUCAGUCCCUAGUCCAGUCUUCUGCUCUCUUAUUGAGUUAUUGUCAUUAACACUUUUCUCUCCUCAUCGUGUGCGUGUUUUGCGUGUCUUUCAGUGGCGAAUAUAAUGACUGUUUUCUUUUUUUGCUUUCAUGGGGGUUUAGCAAAGGGCUUCUUACAGAGUUUAUUGGCAUUCUGUCCACCUCCCAUCAUGGAAAGGCCCUCUUCUUUUCGCUUCUGAUCUUUCAUGGAGGUGGGCAUACUGCCAACUGAUCUCUGUUGGCUUCUCUUUGUAAAACCCUUGUGAUGCAUUUUCUUCCAGCUUUUCUCUUCCUCUGAUAUGGAUCCAGGGUUUGAUUGUCAACAGUGAUCUACUAAAAAUAGGUCUGAGGGGUGCUGCCAUCUAGGGUUUAUGAUCGGCCUCUCGUUUGUAUGUGCAUCUGAGUCAGGAAAGAUCCAUGAUUAGAACCAUUUGUAAAGAUAGAAGGAUCUAUUCAAUUUGAUAAUCUAAAUCCAAACCCUUCAAAAUAAAAGGGCGGAAAUUGCAUAAUUAUCCUGAAAAAACCAAAGGACAAGAAGAUUUGUCAGAGUUUCGUGAGACCCAAAUGAUGACUCCAUUGAAGGUUUUGAAUUAAACUUUUUGUUUGAUGAGACACCUUUAAUAGUACUGUUUGUAUAUAAUCAUGUUGAUUAUUAGAUAUCGGAUUACAAUCAAAGCAAAAAGAUUCUUUUUUAUGUUCUUGGCCUCUUGCAUGAUUGCCACCAAUUUCACAAUGUCAGUCAUUUAUCAACUAAAUUGUAUAGUAUUAAUUAAAUCAUACACUCUGCACUGUUAAAUCUGUAGGACAGGGUCUUUUAAUAUUAGGGCAGCUAGCCCUAGUACUGCUGACAAUUUCUACACUCUCCCAAACCUUAUACGUAGCCUCAUGAUUGAAAUACUGACAAUUUAAACGCAAAGAAAGAGAAAGGAUACCACAGGCCUUUCUAGUGCGUGAUGGUAAACGUCCAGUCACCCAAAUCAACUGUAGUUGCCGGACAGCGAUAUUUUCACUCCUAUAUUUCUUUCACUUAUUUUUUUCUCACCUUUUCCUUUUUCAUCUCUGAAGGAGGGAUGGACUGAUAAAUUAAGCUUGAGCUUUCUUUAUGGUGGUCGGAUAGAGAUGAUAAAAAGAAUGAAGAGGGACAAUGCAAAACUUUGAGAGUAUUAGCGAUAUGGGCAAUGCAAUGAACAGUUAACAAUAAGAGAAUGAAAAAAGAAAUGGGACUUUGAUUGUGAUUCUGUGGUGUUUUCAUUGUGUCUAUAGUCCAUAGGUUUUCAUGAGUUUUCGAGGUGUCUGAAUAG